AGGCUUAACACAUGCAAGUCGAACGCUGUGGCAACACAGAGUGGCAGACGGGUGAGUAACACGUGGGAACGUACCCUUAGGUUCGGAAUAACGCAGGGAAACUUGCGCUAAUACCGGAUACGCCUCGCAAGAGGGAAAGGUUUACCGCCGAAGGAUCGGCCCGCGUCUGAUUAGCUAGUUGGUGAGGUAACGGCUCACCAAGGCGACGAUCAGUAGCUGGUCUGAGAGGAUGAUCAGCCACAUUGGGACUGAGACACGGCCCAAACUCCUACGGGAGGCAGCAGUGGGGAAUAUUGGACAAUGGGCGCAAGCCUGAUCCAGCCAUGCCGCGUGAGUGAUGACGGCCUUAGGGUUGUAAAGCUCUUUUACCUGGGAAGAUAAUGACGGUACCAGGAGAAUAAGCCCCGGCUAACUUCGUGCCAGCAGCCGCGGUAAUACGAAGGGGGCUAGCGUUGUUCGGAAUUACUGGGCGUAAAGCGCACGUAGGCGGACGCUUAAGUCAGGGGUGAAAUCCCGAGGCUCAACCUCGGAACUGCCUUUGAUACUGGGUGUCUUGAGUCCGGGAGAGGUGAGUGGAAC
rnacentral:rRNA from 1 species